rnacentral:lncRNA from 1 species
CUGAGCAAAGGCGCGGAGAGGGGCGCGGCGCUCGGGCGUGUUCGCUUGUGACCUCGGCGGUUCAAAAGGGGCAGAGGCUUCUUAAAGGCUGAAAAUGGAAGAGGAGCGGAGGCGUGGGAGUUCCUGGAGGAGGGAAGAGUGCAAUGAGAGGAAGAAGGCAGAGCGCAGGGAGAAGGAGUCUCAGGAAAUACUUUAUUUGAAAGUCAUAUUUAAGUGAGACCCUGAAGGGUACAUGGGAUUUGACAGGGGAAUGAAGAGGCUUUCAGAUGGAACAUACAGCCAGACCAAAACCUUCAAGUGAAAAACAUCUUGACAUGUUCAAGGAACUGAAAAGAGACACAUGUGGCUGGGAUAGAGUGUGAGAGGUGAUAGUAUUAGAAGAUGGAGUGCUUGGGAGGUGCUUGAGCCCCAAGAGUGGAGCCCUCACUAAUGGGAUCAGUGCUUUUUAUAAAAGAGGCUUCAGUGAGUUCCCUCCCCCUUCCACCAUGGGAGGAUCCAAUGAGAAGUCUGCAGCCUGAAAGAGGACCUUCACCUACCUGUGCUGGCACCUCCGUCUCAGACUUGCAGCCUCCAGAACGCUCCCUUGCACCUGUGGCCUGGACAUGUGACCUGGGCCUGGCCUUUCAGAAGUGCACACACCAGACUUCGAGUCAGUACCUAGAGAUGCAAAGAAGCUGAGAGCGAGGCACAUCUUUUUGGCAAUAACAGCCAAGGGAAUGAAGGAUUAUGAGUCUGUGGGCGAGAGUUCAAUGCUGACUGUGCAAACUAUGAGGUCUGGUAUGUAGCAUGACUGAAACAUUGUUCUCCUGAUACUAGUUUCAUAGUGUGAUACUGGCUGUGUUUUGAUCCAUGCGGCCCUUUCUCCUUGCCUCUUCUUAAACCUAUUUCUCAAAUCCCUCACUGAUUUUAUGACCUAUUCAAUGGUCUUUCAAUAAAUUCAUUCUUCUUAAAUCUGCCA